rnacentral:rRNA from 1 species
ACGCGAAAAACCUUACCUACCCUUGACAUGUACGGAACUUGCCAGAGAUGGCUUGGUGCUCGAAAGAGAGCCGUAACACAGGUGCUGCAUGGCUGUCGUCAGCUCGUGUCGUGAGAUGUUGGGUUAAGUCCCGCAACGAGCGCAACCCUUGUCAUUAGUUGCUACAUUUAGUUGGGCACUCUAAUGAGACUGCCGGUGACAAACCGGAGGAAGGUGGGGAUGACGUCAAGUCCUCAUGGCCCUUAUGGGUAGGGCUACACACGUCAUACAAUGGCUGGUACAAAGGGUUGCCAACCCGCGAGGGGGAGCUAAUCCCAUAAAGCCAGUCGUAGUCCGGAUCGUAGUCUGCAACUCGACUACGUGAAGUCGGAAUCGCUAGUAAUCGUGGAUCAGAAUGUCACGGUGAAUACGUUCCCGGGUCUUGUACACACCGCCCGUCACACCAUGGGAGCGGGUCUCGCCAGAAGUAGUUAGCCUAACCGCAAGGG